rnacentral:rRNA from 1 species
UAGCGAGCCCAACCUCCCACCCGUGUUUACUGUACCUUAGUUGCUUCGGCGGGCCCGCCAUUCAUGGCCGCCGGGGGCUCUCAGCCCCGGGCCCGCGCCCGCCGGAGACACCACGAACUCUGUCUGAUCUAGUGAAGUCUGAGUUGAUUGUAUCGCAAUCAGUUAAAACUUUCAACAAUGGAUCUCUUGGUUCCGGCAUCGAUGAAGAACGCAGCGAAAUGCGAUAACUAGUGUGAAUUGCAGAAUUCCGUGAAUCAUCGAGUCUUUGAACGCACAUUGCGCCCCCUGGUAUUCCGGGGGGCAUGCCUGUCCGAGCGUCAUUGCUGCCCAUCAAGCACGGCUUGUGUGUUGGGUCGUCGUCCCCUCUCCGGGGGGGACGGGCCCCAAAGGCAGCGGCGGCACCGCGUCCGAUCCUCGAGCGUAUGGGGCUUUGUCACCCGCUCUGUAGGCCCGGCCGGCGCUUGCMGAACGCAAAUCAAUCUUUUUCCAGGUUGACCUCGGAUCAGGUAGGGAUACCCGCUGAACUUAAGCAUAUCAAUA